UACGUAGGGGGCAAGCGUUGUCCGGAAUCAUUGGGCGUAAAGAGCGUGUAGGCGGUCCGGUAAGUCGGCUGUGAAAGUCCAGGGCUCAACCCUGGGAUGCCGGUCGAUACUGCCGGACUAGAGUUCGGAAGAGGCGAGUGGAAUUCCCGGUGUAGCGGUGAAAUGCGCAGAUAUCGGGAGGAACGCCUAUGGCGAAGGCAGCUCGCUGGGACGUUACUGACGCUGAGACGCGAAAGCGUGGGGAGCAAACAGG
rnacentral:rRNA from 1 species